GUGCUUUCAGAAUGCUGCUUGAUUUAAUGCCCACAUCAGGGAUGCAGUUCAGUUUCCAGAAUAAAUGGUUCUUUUUUAGCCAAGAAAUAUAUCUAUUGGUUCUUGCAGAGUUCCCCCACCCCCAACCCCGUGAUUCCACUUAAGCUAAAGUCCUUGAGAAUUAGAGAUGGAUGCAGCUCCUUGGACUCGUGGAGGUGGAUGGAACCUCAGAUCAUGCGCUCUGCCACUUUACAGAUGAGUGAUUGGCCCAGGGAGGCCAUGGGACCUGCCCGUGGAAGCAGCUGGUCAGUUUAUUCCUGGAUUUGAUAUCUUUUGCCAAGUGGAAUGGUUGAGGUGAUGUCAGAGGGAGGCUGUCAGCCUGAUGGGAGUGGAUGGAAGCAUGAACCGUGAAAAGAAGCAGCCGAAGGAGCCUGGUCUUCCAGGAAAGCACAGUUUCAGAUGCUCCUGACUUCUGAGGAUGAAGAGAGAAAGACUGUGGGACUUCUCCAGAGCCCAUUCUAUUUUCAGAAGGGAACAAAACACUCACCAAAAAGCAUGUGUCAUCCGGCUGACUGUACACAACAUCCUGGGUGAAACAGACGUGUUCUGGCAACUCUGUUAAAUGUCAUCUCAGAAGAGGUGGGACCAGUCACCUGGGGAGAUCCAAGGAAGCCACGUGAGAUAGUGGGAGAGAAGCAUGAAUCAGGUUCCUGAUUCACAAACUGUCUACUUUCCCCACCAAUGUCCUCAACCAUCCUAUCUUUAUAUAUAUAAGUGGUGGCAGGACCCCUGCAGUUCCUAUCCACUUUCCUGUUGGGAGCGCCUCCACUUGAGAUGCGACGGGAACGCUGGGAAUCCUUUUCCCGACGAAGCAGGGAAAGGAACACUCAUCUCGAUCUACCAGGCGGAAACAGGGCUCAUCGUGAUGUUGGCGGGACCCUCGGUGUUCCUCUCGAGGGAGACGGUUGCCAAGUUGCGUUCAACUCUUUGUGACCCCAUGGACUGCAGCAUGC
ensembl:lncRNA